UAGGGAAUCUUCCACAAUGGACGCAAGUCUGAUGGAGCAACGCCGCGUGAGUGAAGAAGGUUUUCGGAUCGUAAAGCUCUGUUGUUGGUGAAGAAGGAUAGAGGUAGUAACUGGCCUUUAUUUGACGGUAAUCAACCAGAAAGUCACGGCUAACUACGUGCCAGCAGCCGCGGUAAUACGUAGGUGGCAAGCGUUGUCCGGAUUUAUUGGGCGUAAAGCGAGCGCAGGCGGAAGAAUAAGUCUGAUGUGAAAGCCCUCGGCUUAACCGAGGAACUGCAUCGGAAACUGUUUUUCUUGAGUGCAGAAGAGGAGAGUGGAAUUCCAUGUGUAGCGGUGGAAUGCGUAGAUAUAUGGAAGAACACCAGUGGCGAAGGAGACUCUCUGGUCUGCAACUGACGCUGAGGCUCGAAAGCAUGGGUAGCGAACAGG
rnacentral:rRNA from 1 species